rnacentral:rRNA from 1 species
GGUGAUUCAUAAUAACUUAACGAAUCGCAUGGCCUUGCGCCGGCGAUGGUUCAUUCAAAUUUCUGCCCUAUCAACUUUCGAUUGUAAGAUAGAGGCUUACAAUGGUCUUAACGGGUAACGGGGAAUUAGGGUUCUAUUCCGGAGAGGGAGCCUGAGAAACGGCUACCACAUCCAAGGAAGGCAGCAGGCGCGCAAAUUACCCAAUGCUAAUUCAGCGAGGUAGUGACAAUAAAUACUGAUACGGGGCUCUUUCGGGUCUCGUAAUUGGAAUGAGUACAAUCUAAAUCCCUUAACGAGGAACAAUUGGAGGGCAAGUCUGGUGCCAGCAGCCGCGGUAAUUCCAGCUCCAAUAGCGUAUAUUAAAGUUGUUGCCGUUAAAAAGCUCGUAGUUGAACCUUGGACCUGGCUGAUCUGUCCUCCUAAUCGAGCGCACGGAUUCGGUCGGGUCUUUCCUUCUGGGGAGCCCUAUGCCCUUCACUGGGUGUAGUGGGGAACCAGGACUUUUACCUUGAAAAAAUUAGAGUGUUCAAAGCUGGCCUUUGCUCGAAUACAUUAGCAUGGAAUAAUAGAAUAGGACAUCGGUUCUAUUUUGUUGGUUUCUAGGACCGCUGUAAUGAUUAAUAGGGAUAGUCGGGGGCGUCAGUAUUCAAUUGUCAGAGGCGAAAUUCUUGGAUUUAUUGAAGACUAACUACUGCGAAAGCAUUCGCCAAGGAUGUUUUCAUUAAUCAGCGAACGAAAGUUAGGGGAUCGAAGACGAUCAGAUACCGUCGUAGUCUUAACCAUAAACUAUGCCGACUAAAGAUCGGACGGUGGUUUUUUUAUGCCCCGUUCGGCACUUUACGAGAAAUCAAAGUUUUUGGGCUCGGGGGGGAGUAUGGUCGCAAGGCU